rnacentral:rRNA from 1 species
GAUGAACGCUGGCGGCGUGCCUAAUACAUGCAAGUCGAGCGAACAGACGAGGAGCUUGCUCCUCUGACGUUAGCGGCGGACGGGUGAGUAACACGUGGAUAACCUACCUAUAAGACUGGGAUAACUUCGGGAAACCGGAGCUAAUACCGGAUAAUAUAUUGAACCGCAUGGUUCAAUAGUGAAAGACGGUUUUGCUGUCACUUAUAGAUGGAUCCGCGCCGCAUUAGCUAGUUGGUAAGGUAACGGCUUACCAAGGCAACGAUGCGUAGCCGACCUGAGAGGGUGAUCGGCCACACUGGAACUGAGACACGGUCCAGACUCCUACGGGAGGCAGCAGUAGGGAAUCUUCCGCAAUGGGCGAAAGCUUGACGUAGCAACGCCGCGUGAGUGAUGAAGGUCUUCUGAUCGUAAAACUCUGUUAUUAGGGAAGAACAAAUGUGUAAGUAACUAUGCACGUCUUGACGGUACCUAAUCAGAAAGCCACGGCUAACUACGUG